UUGAAAGUCACCCUGUUUCACCCUGUUCCCAAUCACGCCAUUCGUUAUUGUUACUACAGCGAAAGUGCGAUAAUCGCAGCUACGCACGCAAGCUUACUUCUUGGGCCAUAUUUAUGUUGUACGAAGCUCGGUCACGCAGAUCAAUUCUCUUUCUCGACGCUCUUCACGACAAAAGGGAGAAGAAAUGAAUAGCAGUCUGAAGCUGCACUGCGAUCAGGACACUGACUGAAAACAAUCCGUUUUUCUGUUCAACACCGCCCACGCUGACGCAAACCACGCAGUGUUACGCACGCAAUAUCAUCUCCAAGGCCCGCACAUAAGAGAUCUCUCUUAGUUAGUGCCUCUUCUUCGGCAUCACCACAAACCUUCGUCUUCUCUCGCCAGUCUCGCUCGUCCUCAUUUCUGACUACCAAUGAGUGAAAGAUAAUUUUUUACCAGUAGCGGCAUCUGACAGCAGACAGCGAGCAAUUUCUAUGGUCAAAGGCGACAAUGAUGUCUCCCAUGGCUUGUAAAUAUCGUGGAGCGCUCAAAAGGACAUUCAUGCCGUUUGUCAUCUAAUCGUUAAAAUGCGAUACAAUUGGAACCCAAGGAAAAAGAACAGGACACUUUUACAACCAGCCAUGAAAACUGACAAUAUACCACAGCCACGCUCUACAUACCUCCUUGGUUUAGGACAUACAUCGGGACACCCACGGUCUUAACCUGAACGGGGGCGAUCAUUAACCUAACUCGGGAAUUUUGGUUGAGCCAUUUUUCUGCUGAGAUACGGGCGAUGGAGGGAAGCAUAAAGCCAUCAUCGAGUCGAGACUGAAUCCUUAGUGAUCGGAGCUUGGAGAUGGCAGAAGGCGAGAAUUCAUUAGGAUGAGAUAUGCCCUGCCCGUCGGUGCCACCAGGGAGGAAUGAUUCAAUAAACCUCUCCAGGAGGCUUUCAUGGGCACGAAGUGGUCUACAAUGACCGCCAAUUAACGUACAGCCUCUCUGAAAUCCUGCGCAUCUUGCCACUCACCGCCCAUGUGCCACUCAACCCUCUUAUUCAAGCACAUCUUCGCCAUAAACUCGGUCUCAACGAGCGGGACAAUGGUAUCAUUUUUGCCGAUAACAUGCAGGGUGGGGAGUGAGGCUGGCAGUGGGAAGCAAGGGGCAUAAGAAGGAUGAGGCGUCGAAUAGCCACCUAUGAAGAAGCCAGAUAAGUUGAUGAAGACUGUGUGGAUGACAUUAACGUGCUUUCCAAACGCAAGGCGGAAAAUGGAGCGCACAUCUGGGCUUUUGGAGUCUUGGGUGGAAGGGGAAGUUACGAUCUGAAUGUUGAGUGCCCUUCAUCUGUUGAUAUGAAGGGCCACAAUUGCAACAGCCAAUGUGGCUCCGGAAGAGAAUGCGAAGAAGCCCUUUCAGCUUCCAUCAGCGACGAAGAACCCUGAACAAUCGACAUCUAGAACCAUUACUCACAUCAAAAGGUUCAUUUUCGAUGAGGAACUUGUGAACAUACGCCACGCUGUCGGCGAAGCCUGCUCCGCAUUAGCAUACGAUCUUACAGAUCUGCUCCCUACUAACGGAUGCCUACCUCUAUCACCGUGCCAAUCCGCACCACCGUCAAACCACGCCCUGGCUAGGGACCCAAGAGGGAAAUCGACUGGAUGAACGAUCAUGGGCGGUUCGAGGAUUACUACCAAAGGAGUCAAUAACUAGGAAGGAGUAAUACAAGACUCACUUCCUGGGAAAAGAUGUACUUGUUCCCUGUAAACCCACAGAAGCAGAGAACGCGAAGCAUGGCUGUAGAUGUGUGAGCGCGGAAGGCAAACUGUCCAAUUGGUUUGUAGCGAAUUAGCUGUGGGUGAGAAGCGACGAUGAGAUAAAGAAUUUCGCUCGUUCAAGAUUCGUCAUUUAUACAUCUUUCCAGGGAGGUAUUGAUAACAAAAAGACAGUCUCUUUUCCAUCAUCGUGGGAAUUGCAAUAUUAUCGGGACAACCGUUCAUAUGCUUGCACAACAAAGUUGGAAGUGGUCGGCGUAUGCCAUGGGCGAAGAAGGGUUUCUCCGUGAUGGACAGUUAUCGAUGUGGGGAGCUGCGGCCCGACGCAUGCACACAUAUUUAGAGCUGUGUGGAUAGAAAAUAGCUUGGAAAGCAGGGUUGAAACAAUAAUGCCGCCAAGAUGAAGGACAAUACCGGCAAGAAAGUUGUUUUUGCAAGGUUCGGCGGCAGGCCAGGGACAUGCACAAGAGCUCGGAUCAAAGGCAAAGUAGGAAAAGGAUUUAGCAAGGUCCGAUCAAGGGUACGGUUCUCGGGUUGUUUCGAAACCAACGAGAGCAAGCUAGAAGUUGCGGAGGGCUGAGAGAUUACAUAGGCGCUUUCCACCGUCGAGUACAAGAAAUGACGAAGGAAGAAGCCGUACAAUAAAAGUGCUUUAUCAAGUCAGCAGGCACUGAUGGAGGGGGGCCCUGCAGUGAGACAUUAAGGAAAGCGACACAGGCGGAAGAUGAAACUAGAUAAGAUGGAAGGUCCUUUUUGUUUAAUUUCUGAUCCCUUAUUCUUCCUUUUUGAGGCUUAUUAAACAGAUACGGAACCAAUGGCG
rnacentral:sRNA from 1 species